rnacentral:rRNA from 1 species
ACUCCUACGGGAGGCAGCAGUGGGGAAUUUUGGACAAUGGGCGCAAGCCUGAUCCAGCCAUGCCGCGUGCGGGAAGAAGGCCUUCGGGUUGUAAACCGCUUUUGUCAGGGAAGAAAAGGUUCUGGCUAAUACCUGGGACUCAUGACGGUACCUGAAGAAUAAGCACCGGCUAACUACGUGCCAGCAGCCGCGGUAAUACGUAGGGUGCAAGCGUUAAUCGGAAUUACUGGGCGUAAAGCGUGCGCAGGCGGUUAUGCAAGACAGAGGUGAAAUCCCCGGGC